rnacentral:lncRNA from 1 species
AUUAAUAUAGAUCGCUUUUAACUUUAAAAAUGACACAUGGUGAAGAAUGAGUUGGAGACAGUAUCACAUGCAAGACAGAGAUUGGUUACUUAAAUCUGAGUUUUGUACUUUUUAACUAAAAUAAAUGGGUGGGGACAGGUGUUCGUAGGGAUGCAAACAACGUAUAUUGUAUGGACAUGGUUAGUGGAAGGACGAGCAAGAGCCACCAUCUCGGCUUUAUUCAUGUUCACGUGUCGCGGCAUUCUCGGUUACUCUACUCAGCUUCCUCUCCCUCAGGUUCCAAUCCACAUAUCUCUCCCUCUUCAAGCAUAAAACAAACAAUAUUAUAAAGUAACUUUGUAUUUUUUUUUUUUUUUAAUAUUAUAGUGAUGAUCUACCUGCAGGGUACAUAUAUAGAUGUAACGUCCAAUUUAUUGGUUGAUCCAUAUCAGAAUUUGAACAUUGUGGACGUGUGAUUUCCCUUGGCCACUACCGUUAAACAGUUUAUGAGAGUCUCAAAAUUUAAAAGAAACAAAUUUCGUCAAAAACAGCAAUAAUUAUUGUGAAAUGAAAGGAGUGAUAGAUUGUAUUUUUUUUUGUCGGGAGUGAUAGAUUGUGUCUAACGCUUUUAAGUUUACCGGGUUUAGGUUAAUUAUCAUCAUCUUAAUGAUUGUUUUUCCAAUUUCUAGCCAUCACUAUUUUCCUCAAAAUAAUUCCACGAUUUGAUUGACUGGACAUAAAUAUCAGACUCACUCAUAUAUAUACAUUCUACGGUUCUAGUGACUCAUCUAGUUUAGUUUCUUUCUCGUGAUGUAGCAUCGAUACAUGGAUUUAUGUGUCGUCUUCUUAUACUAUUAACAUGUAGUGAUAUCUAAGGUUAAUUAUCUCUAGUUCGUGAUCAAGAUAAUUUACAUCCCGGAAAUUACAAUACUCUUUUACAGGAUUUUCUAGGAUCAGGAGUUGAUUUUCCGGUAGGAA